rnacentral:rRNA from 1 species
UAAUGCUCACCAUCGCGACCCCAGGUCAGGCGGGAUUACC